rfam:Drosophila persimilis strain MSH-3 cont1.001291, whole genome shotgun sequence.
UUUGCGCGUUGCUUGAUGCGUUGCCAGUUGAGAACUUCACUGGAAACGUUUCGCAUCGCGGUAGAUAAACGAAACACUCCCAGCUUACUACUAAUUUAGCGAUUAAAGGGAGUUGCAAUGAAUAUGUUCGUGAUGAUUGAACAGCAUAAAUCGUUGCUGCUGAUACUUGCAUACACUG